rnacentral:lncRNA from 1 species
GACCCUUCGAAGGUUUCCAUUUGCAAGCUCUCAGCAGACAUUUUGGUCUUGAAGUCGGAACACUGUAUAGGCAACUCCUGUGUGAGUCAGCUUUGCCACACGGUGACCAAAAUACCUGACGUGACCUUAAAGGAGGAAAAGUUUUAUGUUGGCUCAUGGCUUCAGAGGGUCGGUCCAUGGCCAGCUGAUUCCCAAGCAGACACAUCACAGUGGAAAGACACUCAGCUCAAGGUGGCCAGGGAGCCAGACAGGAAAGGGUCAUGGGCAAGAUAACCCUUGUGUGGCCACAUCCACUCCGUGACUCACUUCUCCCAGCUAGGCCCUGCCUCCAGUCCUCCAUCCAGCUACCAAUGGACCUGUCCAGCGAUGAGGUCAGAGGCCUCAUGAACCAGUCACUGACUGAAAGCAGCUGUGCACCUUGCCCCACUGGGGACCAUGCUGUCAACACACACACUUUGGGGGACUUUCCUGAUCCAGUUCUGAUACCUUUGGCUACAGAAGGCUCUGCCAAUCAUCCUGGUGGCUCUUUAGCCACAUCUCUGGUCUGGAUUGAGGAAAACACAUCUUGAUACACAAUUUUACUUCUUACAUGGAGGGAAAGAAGGACGAGUGCCCCCGCUUCUCCCUCCCCGGAGAACACAUUUCUCACACCCCUUGCUCAGCCUGUGGGUGGGGUCCUGUAACCCUGAAGUGAAUUUUCUGACUACUCACUCAUAGUCUCAGGUGGAGGUAGUCGUGUCUGCUUUUCAAGCAAGAUUCCAUGAAACCAGAUCCAGUGUCAGCUCGGAAUGUGACCUCAGGUGGCUUCAGGUCCACUUCCUCUCGGGUGGCUUGUUGGGCUCCCCCUUACCUGGUCCUGCAGGCCUCCUCUGCUUCCUCUGACAACGAGGCAGAGAAGACCUCUUGAGCCUGGUGUGAAGGGAAUCUGUGUUAAUGACUCCAGAAGUUUCCUGUAAACUCUCAUGUACUAUGAAAACAAACCAGAUUGCCUCUGGGAUUCUACAAAGAAGGCCGAAUUCUUGCGGUUUAGGGCUUUAUUUUUCAAAAUGUAAUCACUGAUACGUAGUCCAUGUCUAAUCUGUUGAAGUCGUUAAACUCAAAGUGGAGAGGGAAUUUGGUUAAGAGAGCUGAGGGUGAGCCCGUCCUGGUAGAAGCCCCUCUUACUGGUGCUGUUUCCCCCACGGCAGGACAU